UACGGAGGGGGCUAGCGUUGUUCGGAAUUACUGGGCGUAAAGCGCGCGUAGGCGGCUUUGUAAGUUAGAGGUGAAAGCCCGGAGCUCAACUCCGGAACUGCCUUUAAGACUGCAUCGCUUGAAUCCAGGAGAGGUGAGUGGAAUUCCGAGUGUAGAGGUGAAAUUCGUAGAUAUUCGGAAGAACACCAGUGGCGAAGGCGGCUCACCGGACUGGUAUUGACGCUGAGGUGCGAAAGCGUGGGGAGCAAACAGG
rnacentral:rRNA from 1 species